rnacentral:misc_RNA from 1 species
UCCGGCUUAUCACCGGCAGUCGCCUUAGAGUGCCCAACUAAAUGAUGGCAACUAAGGGCGAGGGUUGCGCUCGUUGCGGGACUUAACCCAACAUCUCACGACACGAGCUGACGACAGCCAUGCAGCACCUGUCACCGGUCCAGCCGAACUGAAAGAUCCCCUUUCAGGGAUCCGCGACCGGGAUGUCAAGGGCUGGUAAGGUUCUUCGCGUUGCUUCGAAUUAAUCCGCAUGCUCCACCGCUUGUGCGGGCCCCCGUCAAUUCCUUUGAGUUUCAGCCUUGCGGCCGUACUCCCCAGGCGGGGCACUUAAUGCGUUAGCUUCGACACCGAGGGGGUCGUUCCCUCCGGCAUCUAGUGCCCAUCGUUUACGGCGUGGACUAC